AGGGGAAGCAGAAAUAGAAAUUAUAAGGUGGAUUGAAAAGAAAAUGUGUCCGGGAAUUGAUUGCAGUUGCAGACCUUUGGCCUUUAUGUUGGGCCUCCCUUUUGCUCUCAUUUCCCUGCUUAUUUCCAUAGUCGGCGUCCUCAUCUGGAUUAUCGGGUCGACGUGUCCGUGUUGCAUAUGUUUGACAGUGUUGGUUGAAUUUGGACUGGCGUUGAUUAAGGCUCCUAUUCGUGUCAUGAAGUGGUUUGCUGACAAGAUCCCUUUUUGACAGACUCUUUCCAUCACUUUGCUCUAUUUUACUUUGAGAAACGAUCAAAUUUGUUAUUGUAUUAUUUGGAAUAAAAUAACUUUAUCUUCUAGUAUUA